rnacentral:tRNA from 1 species
GUUAACGUAGCUUAACCAAAGCGUGGCACUGAAGAUGCCAAGCUGGGCCCUAAUAAGCCCCGAUAACA